UAGGGAAUCUUGCGCAAUGGGCGAAAGCCUGACGCAGCGACGCCGCGUGCGGGAAGAAGGCCUUCGGGUUGUAAACCGCUUUCAGGAGGGACGAAGCCACUCGGGUUAAUAGCCCAGAGGGUGACGGUACCUCCAGAAGAAGCCCCGGCUAACUACGUGCCAGCAGCCGCGGUAAUACGUAGGGGGCGAGCGUUGUCCGGAUUUAUUGGGCGUAAAGAGCGUGUAGGCGGCCAGGUAGGUCCGUUGUGAAAACUCGAGGCUCAACCUCGAGACGUCGAUGGAAACCAUCUGGCUAGAGUCCGGAAGAGGAGGGUGGAAUUCCUGGUGUAGCGGUGAAAUGCGCAGAUAUCAGGAAGAACACCUAUGGCGAAGGCAGCUCUCUGGGACGGUACUGACGCUGAGACGCGAAAGCGUGGGGAGCGAACAGGAUUAGAUACCCUGGUAGUCCACGCCGUAAACGAUGGGAACUAGGUGUGGGCGGUGUCGACUCCGUCCGUGCCGAAGCUAACGCAUUAAGUUCCCCGCCUGGGGAGUACGGCCGCAAGGCUAA
rnacentral:rRNA from 1 species